UACGGGGGAUGCAAGCGUUAUCCGGAAUGAUUGGGCGUAAAGCGUCUGUAGGUGGCUUUGCAAGUCAACUGUCAAAAAUCAAGGCUUAACCUUGAACAGGCAUUUGAAACUAUGAGGCUUGAGUUAGGUAGGGGCAGAGGGAAUUCCUAGUGUAGCGGUGAAAUGCGUAGAUAUUAGGAAGAACACCAAUGGCGAAAGCACUCUGCUGGGCCAUGACUAACACUGAGAGACGAAAGCUAGGGGAGCAAAUCGG
rnacentral:rRNA from 1 species